rnacentral:tRNA from 1 species
GGUGCUGUAGCUCAGCUGGCAGAGCGCGGAUCUUAUAAGUCCUGAGGCCGUGGGUUCGAGUCCCACCAGCACUACCC